AUUGAACGCUGGCGGCAGGCCUAACACAUGCAAGUCGCGCGAGCGGCGGCCGGGUGAGUAACGUCUGGGAAACCGCCUGAUGGAGGGGGAUAACUACUGGAAACGGUAGCUAAUACCGCAUACCAUCAGAUGUGCCUAGAUGGGAUGAGCAAGUAGGGGGGGUAAUGGAUCACCUAGGCGACGAUCCCUAGCUGGUCUGAGAGGAUUGCCAGCCACACUGGAACUGAUACACGGUCCAGGCUCCUACUGGAGUGAUCAGUGGGGAGUCUUGCACAAUGGGCGCGAGCCUGAUGCAGCCAUGACGCGUGUGUGAAGAAGGCCUUCGGGUUGUAAAGCACUUUCAGCGGUGAGGCGUUACCCGCAGAGGUAGCACCGGCUAACUCCGUGCCAGCAGCCGCGGUAAUUC
rnacentral:rRNA from 1 species